ACUCCCUCUCUCUUCUCCACUAUGGACAGAGCCUCCACUGAGCUGCUGCCUGCCCGCCACAUACCCAGCUGACAUGGGCACCGCAGGAGCCAUGCAGCUGUGCUGGGUGAUCCUGGGCUUCCUCCUGUUCCGAGGCCACAACUCCCAGCCCACAAUGACCCAGACCUCUAGCUCUCAGGGAGGCCUUGGCGGUCUAAGUCUGACCACAGAGCCAGUUUCUUCCAACCCAGGUGAGUGAGUGUGGUUGCUGAGGUCCCUGCUCCUGCCCCACACCCAUUCAUUCAGACCUGCUUGGAGCCCAGGGGUUCUUGGGUGGGACAGGGAGUGUGGUGUCACCAAACCUACCCCACCUCCCACUCCCUAUCUGCCUCUGUCCUUGCAGGAUACAUCCCUUCCUCAGAGGCUAACAGGCCAAGCCAUCUGUCCAGCACUGGUACCCCAG
rnacentral:lncRNA from 1 species